AUUGAACGCUGGCGGCAGGCCUAACACAUGCAAGUCGAACGAGUGGCGGACGGGUGAGUAAUGUCUGGGAAACUGCCUGAUGGAGGGGGAUAACUACUGGAAACGGUAGCUAAUACCGCAUCCCAUCGGCUGUGCCCAGAUGGGCUUAGCUAUUAGGUGGGGUAAAGGCUCACCUAGGCGACGAUCCAUAGCUGGUCUGAGAGGAUGACCAGCCACACGGAAACUGAGACACGGGCCAGACUCCUACGGGAGGAAGCAGUGGGGAAUAUUGCACAAUGGGCGCAAGCCGGAUGCAGCCAUGCCGCGUGUAUGAAGAAGGCCUUCGGGUUGUAAAGUACUUUCAGCGGGUAGGCGUUACCCGCAGAAGAAGCACCGGCUAACUCCGUGCCAGCAGCCGCGGUAAUUC
rnacentral:rRNA from 1 species